rnacentral:rRNA from 1 species
AACGAACGCUGGCGGCAUGCCUAACACAUGCAAGUCGAACGAGACCUUCGGGUCUAGUGGCGCACGGGUGCGUAACGCGUGGGAACCUGCCCUUAGGUUCGGAAUAACUCCCCGAAAGGGGUGCUAAUACCGGAUAAUGUCUUCGGACCAAAGAUUUAUCGCCUUUGGAUGGGCCCGCGUUGGAUUAGCUAGUUGGUAGGGUAAAAGCCUACCAAGGCGACGAUCCAUAGCUUGUCUGAGAGGAUGAUCAGCCACACUGGGACUGAGACACGGCCCAGACUCCUACGGGAGGCAGCAGUGGGGAAUAUUGGACAAUGGGCGGAAGCCUGAUCCAGCAAUGACGCGUGAGUGAUGAAGGCCUUAGGGUUGUAAAGCUCUUUUACCCGGGAUGAUAAUGACAGUACCGGGAGAAUAAGCUCCGGCUAACUCCGUG